CGCGGGGUGGAGCAGUCUGGUAGCUCGUCGGGCUCAUAACCCGAAGGUCGGAGGUUCGAAUCCUUCCCCCGCUACUA
rnacentral:tRNA from 2 species